GAUGAAGAACGCAGCGAAAUGCGAUAAGUAAUGUGAAUUGCAGAAUUCAGUGAAUCAUCGAAUCUUUGAACGCACAUUGCGCCCGCCAGUAUUCUGGCGGGCAUGCCUGUUCGAGCGUCAUUUCAACCCUCAGGCCCCGCCUGGCGUUGGGGAUCGGCGCGGCCCUCUCCGGGCUGCCGGCCCCGAAAACUAGUGGCGGUCUCGCUAUAGUCCUCCUCUGCGCAGUAGCAACGCUCGCACUGGAACUCGGCGCGGCCACGCCGUAAAACACCCCACUUCUGAAAGUUGACCUCGGAUCAGGUAGGAAUACCCGCUGAACUUAAGCAUAUCAAUAAGCGGAGGA
rnacentral:misc_RNA from 1 species